UUAAUUUUCCCGUGACCUUUCUCUCCUCCCGAUUCUGUCCGCGUGCGGCGCUUCUGCUCGGGCGACGGCGAAGAAGGAGCUGGGUUUUGGUCUCCGGCAGCCGGCCUAGGAUCAAAGCUGAGAGCUUUCUACACCAUUGUGAUCCUCUCGUCGAGGAGAGCUUGUGGGCACGAGGAGGAACCGGGAACUCAAGUAUCUCGGAAACCCUAGAGUUGCCUUUCUCCUUCGGUAGUGAGCUCAAGAACAGCAAGAUACAGGAAAGGAAAAGAUAUAGAAAGGAAGGCGACAAGGUGGCGCGGAUGGUGUGUGAUGUCAGGACUAUGGAAGCCUUGGGACUAGGAAAGGAGUUCUAAUUUUAGUUUCCACAUUUUAGUUAUUGUAAACAUUUGAGUUGUAUUUUAAGUGCAUGUCAUUUGAGAUUAUUCUGUUUAGAUUGCAUGUAGGAUGAGUUCGGUUUAGUAAGUAGAUAUUUGUGUGUUGUUUUCUUUA